UACGUAGGGUGCAAGCGUUGUCCGGAAUUAUUGGGCGUAAAGAGCUCGUGGGCGGUCAGUCGCGUCUGCUGUGAAAACUCGGGGCUUAACUCCGGGCCUGCAGUGGGUACGGGCUGACUAGAGUGCGGUAGGGGAGACUGGAAUUCCUGGUGUAGCGGUGAAAUGCGCAGAUAUCAGGAGGAACACCGGUGGCGAAGGCGGGUCUCUGGGCCGUAACUGACGCUGAGGAGCGAAAGCGUGGGGAGCGAACAGG
rnacentral:rRNA from 1 species